rnacentral:rRNA from 1 species
CGGUAAUUCCAGCUCCAAUAGCGUAUACUAAUGUUGUUGCAGUUAAAAAGCUCGUAGUCGGAUUUCAGUGUUCGCUUAGCUUUCACUUAGUGUCAGUCUUCGCUACACUUCUUUGACGAUAACUUGCAUCGCCUUGAUUGGUGGUGUUUGGACUAUUGUCUCUUUUACUUUGAGAAAAUUAGAGUGUUCAAAGCAGGUUUUCACGCCUGAAUAUUACUCUUGGAAUAAUAACAUAUGACUUUGGUUUUUAUUUGUUGGUGAUUAGAGACCGAAGUAAUGAUUGCCAGGGACGGUUGGGGCCAUUCGUACUGCAAAGCGAGAGGUGAAAUUCUUGGACCUUUGUAUGACGAACUACUGCGAAAGCAUUUGGCUAGGACGUUCCCGUUGAUCAAGAACGAAAGUUGGGGGACCGAAGACGAUCAGAUACCGUCGUAGUCUCAACCAUAAACUAUGCCAGCUAGGGAUUGGUGGAUGUUUCUCUAACGACUCCAUCAGCACCUUAUGAGAAAUCAAAGCAUUUGGGUUCCGGGGGGAGUAUGGUCGCAAGGCUGAAACUUAAAGGAAUUGACGGGAGGGCACCACCAGGAGUGGAGCCUGUGGCUUAAUUUGAUUCAACACGGGAAAACUUACCAGGUCCGGACAUGGGAAGGAUUGACAGAUUGAAAGCUCUUUCUUGAUUCUAUGGGUGGUGGUGCAUGGCCGUUCUUAGUUGGUGGAGUGAUUUGUCUGGUUAAUUCCGUUAACGAACGAGACCUCAGCCUGCUAAAUAGUUGCUGUCUUUUCAAAGGCAUUGCAUACUUCUUAGAGGGACUACUUCGCAAACAAGCAAGCGGAAGCUUGAGGCAAUAACAGGUCUGUGAUGCCCUUAGAUGUUCUGGGCCGCACACGGGCUACACUGGUGUUUUCAACAAGCCUUACUACCUUAACCGAAAGGUUCGGGUAAUCUUUGAAAUAACACCGUGCUUGGGAUAGACUAUUGCAAUUUUUAGUCUUCAACGAGGAAUUCCUAGUAAACGCAAGUCAUCAGCUUGCAUUGAUUACGUCCCUGCCCCUUGUACACACCGCCC